rnacentral:rRNA from 1 species
CAGCAGCCACGGUAAUACGUAGGUGGCAAGCGUUGUCCGGAAUUAUUGGGCGUAAAGGGCUCGCAGGCGGUUUCUUAAGUCUGAUGUGAAAGCCCCCGGCUCAACCGGGGAGGGUCAUUGGGAACUGGGAAACUUGAGUGCAGAAGAGGAGAGUGGAAUUCCACGUGUAGCGGUGAAAUGCGUAGAGAUGUGGAGGAACACCAGUGGCGAAGGCGACUCUCUGGUCUGUAACUGACGCUGUGGAGCGAAAGCGUGGGGAGCGAACAGGAUUAGAUACCCCCGUAGUCCCUGUCUCUUAUAC